UAAGAUGGCCAAAAAGGAAACUUAUUAUAUUAAAACAAAAAUCACACACACACAAGGUUGUGUGUGUGCGUACGGUUGCACAAGAGAAAGGGGGAAGAAGGGUAUGAACCCUAACCACAAGAGAAUCCAGCAAUUGAAGGUGUUAUGGAGCAAGAAUCGAAUGCAUGAACUCGUUUUCUUGAUGAUCUAGCCCUAGCAAACAUGUGGAUAGGAACCCCAAUUGACAUGGACUUAAGUAUGGAAAGCUAACGGACCAUGAGGAAAGGGGAAGCUUUGCACAAACUUGGACGCACGAGGUUGUACAAAUCACAGAUUAUCACCAUGAGGUGUAGCGAUUGAAGACCGAGUCACGAGAUAGAUUGUACGGGAAUGUUGAUUAUGUA